rnacentral:rRNA from 1 species
GACGAACGCUGGCGGCGUGCCUAAUACAUGCAAGUAGAACGCAGUUGCGAACGGGGGAGUAACGCGUAGGUAACCGCCCCAUUGCCGGGGAUAACUUUUGGAAACGAUAGCUAAUACCCCAUUGUGUGAGACGGACCUGCGUUGUUUGUGCUUGUUGGUGAGGUAAAGGCUCACCAAGGCGCCGAUACAUAGCCGACCGGAGACGGAGGUCCGCCAACAUGGGACUGAGACACGGGCCAGGACCCUACGGGAGGGAGCAGUAGGGAAUCUUCGGCAAUUGGGGGCAAUCUGACCGAGGAACGCCGCGGGAGGGAAGAAGGUUUUCGGAGCGUAAAGCUCUGUUGUGAGAGAAGCGGUAACUACACAGAAAGGGACGGCUAACUACGUGCCAGCAGCCGCGGUAAUAC